GGCGGUUCUCCGGUGAAGCACGCCAGAAUCGGGCUCCCUCCUCUCUGGUUCCCGGUAUGUCACCCAAGAACAGCA
rfam:Myotis brandtii contig213845, whole genome shotgun sequence.